rnacentral:rRNA from 1 species
UACGUAGGGGGCAAGCGUUGUCCGGAUUUAUUGGGCGUAAAGCGCUCGCAGGUGGUUCGAUGCGUCGUGCGUGAAAGACCCCGGCUCAACUGGGGAGGGCCGUGCGAUACGGUCGAACUGGAGGCCAGUAGGGGGAUGCGGAAUUCCGGGUGUAGUGGUGGAAUGCGUAGAGAUCCGGAGGAACACCAGCGGCGAAGGCGGCAUCCUGGACUGGUCCUGACACUCAGGAGCGAAAGCGUGGGGAGCGAUCCGG